rnacentral:rRNA from 1 species
CGUGUAGGUGGCUAUAAAAGUUGGAUGUGAAAUCCCUCGGCUCAACCGAGGAAUAGCAUUCAAAACUUUAUGACUAGAGUGUGGGAGAGGAAAGCGGAAUUUCUGGUGUAGCGGUGAAAUGCGUAGAUAUCAGAAAGAACACCUGUGGCGAAAGCGGCUUUCUGGACCAACACUGACACUGAGGCGCGAAAGCUAGGGGAGCGAACAGGAUUAGAUACCCUGGUAGUCC